CCUUAUGUGAAAAAAUGUUUUAAAGUCUGAUAAAUUUUUCUAAAUAUAUUAACUAUUCUAAAUCUCUGUUUCUUGUUUUCCAGACAGUUCAAUUGAAAAGUCAGCUUUGGCUAGGCAUGGUGGCUCACGCCUGUAAUCCCAGCACUUUGGGAGGCUGAGGCGGGUGGAUCACGAGGUCAAGAGAUCGAGACCAUCCUGGUCAAACAAGCUGGAUACGUGUCCCCUUCCUGUAGUCCCGGAUACUCAAGAGGCUGAGGUAAGAAGAUGGCUUGAGCCCGGAAGGUCAAGGGUGUACUCGUGAGCCAUGAUUGUGCCAUUGCACUCCUGCCUGGGAAAAAGAGUUCUCAUGUAGUCAACCUUCCCCAAGACUUGCUGUUCCAGCUUGAAGUUCAAAGACUACUAUCUUCUUCUUCUUCCACCUGAAAUCAUUAUUAGUGCUCACACACUGAACCAUAAUUUGCCAGCCUGUGCCAUUAUUAUGUAGAAAUGCUUAAUAUGUCACUUACAUAAAAGUAAUGCUGGACGUCACACUAACAGUCAAGGGGAUGCAAUGUGCAAUGACAAUGUGUACCCUUUCAUACUCUACAGAAUGACAAAUUGAAUAAUUAUCAUAAUAUUACUAAGUAUUGGUAAAGAUAUGGGGGAAAUUGGAACACUUGGUUAUUUCCAUUAGCAUGAAAAUUAUAAACAUGUUGGAGAGCAAUUUUAUGAUAGCAUAAGAAAAUGUUCAUAUACUUAAACUGAGCAAUGAUGUUUCUAGUAUCUACUUUCAACUAAUUCAUUCAUGGGUGCAAAGUUCACAGGGCAAUACAAAGUUCACAGUAAGAAUAAAAUGUGGAAAUGACUUCA
rnacentral:lncRNA from 13 species